rnacentral:lncRNA from 1 species
UCCUCGAGCGUUGUGCACAUGCCCUGCACCAGGUCUGGCGUUGUCCGGUGGGGCGGGUCGCCGACAUCUGGUUAUGAAGUAUUUUCAUAUUGAGUGAUGGAAAAGGAACAUAUUUCAGUAGUACACCACAUUUAUAAGGCAUCUUCUGGAUUUGACACGCAUGAAUCAUGUAGCAAACAAAUAAAAAUACACGGAUAUAGUUUGAAAUACGAAACUACAUUUCCUUGGAAAAAUUUCAGAAGCAACAUCAGAGAUAUAUAUAUAAAUGAAGAAGCAUUUUGUAAGCAACAUUAAAACCUUCAUAUAAAAAAAGAAACAUGGAAAAAUGCUCAAUAAUCGGUAAGAUGUAACCACAUAUGGUGUGCAACAUCAAGCACAUUCCAUACCAACUGGGUACAAAUUAGUGCAUGAAUUGCACAAAUAUAUCAUAGGAGAUGGACAGGGGAAGAAGGGAUGGAUGUUUACCCGGUGGAGCUGUGACUACAGAUGGCGGCAUAUGACGGCAGCAUCAUAGAGCGUGUAACCCCUUGUGUCACCGUCAAUGGUCAGCUGCUGACGCUAACUCGAGAAAGCCAUUAUCACCUUGCCCCGCCGCUCCCUCCUGUG